GGAAAGUGGCUGUGGUUCGGCAGAAUAUAAAGCUGAAUGCAACCGACUCUGCAGCGGAGAUAGUCGACAGGUUCCUGUGUUACGAUAUUGAUGUUAGCCAAAUUGCGUUGCAUCCGACGUUGCCAAAACCGGCAUGCCUUUGCUUGAUAAGCAAAUCAAAGGGGAAGCUACAGUGUAUCAAGACCAAAAUGCCCGAUAACUUAGGUUUGAGGUCCACAACCAGCACAUUGUGCAAGCGUUUCUUCGGGGGAUGCUACAUACUGUUUUCAACAAUGCUUCACAUGCUUUCAAGAUCCAGUCUGGUUUCUCGAUGGUACCUUUAAGUUAGUCAAGGAACCGUUUCUAUCAGCUGUUCCGUGUACACAGCCUUAUCAGGUCAGGCAACUCCUGCAAGCAUGUUCUAUUGGUAUUCGCCAUGAUUUCUUGCAAGAGAGGUGUGGACUGUAUUAUGCUUGUUAAUACGGAUGUUGCCUGUCUUUAAUUUAGAAGUCAUGUCAAUGUGCCGAACUUCAAAGUCUCUCGAUGUCUUUUCCAUUUCACACAGGCAAUCUUCAGAAAGGUCUAGGAGUUUGGCCUGCAACGAAGAACUUCAUCUGCCAACUGAUGUCGCUGCCUGUUCUUCCUGUAGAGCACAUUUUUUUUGUUGCAUGAAACAGUCAGCAGCAGCAGCGAUGGAUGAGAUGAUGUUGUACUUGCAGUCCUAUUGGAUUGAUGGAGAUAUUUUCAGUACUGUAGACUGGAUCGUGGUUUCGAGUCUCCGCUGUGCAGAUUCGCUUGUGUCCUUGGGCAAGGCACUUUAGCUACAUUGCUUCAGUCCACCCAGGUGUAUCAAUGGGUACCAGCAAA